rnacentral:rRNA from 1 species
CCUACGGGGGGCAGCAGUGGGGAAUAUUGCACAAUGGGGGAAACCCUGAUGCAGCAACGCCGCGUGAGUGAUGAAGUACUUCGGUAUGUAAAGCUCUAUCAGCAGGGAAGAAGAAAGACGGUACCUGACUAAGAAGCCCCGGCUAACUACGUGCCAGCAGCCGCGGUAAUACGUAGGCGGCAAGCGUUAUCCGGAUUUACUGGGGGUAAAGGGAGCGUAGGCGGCUGUGCAAGUCUGAGGUGAAACCCCGUGGCUCAACGGCGGAACUGCUUUGGAAACUGGAAAGCUUGAGUGCGGGAGAGGCAAGUGGAAUGCCAGGUGUAGCGGUGAAAUGCGUAGAUAUUAGGAGGAACACCAGUGGCGAAGGCGGCCGUCUGG